rnacentral:lncRNA from 1 species
CUGGGAGCUGUAGCAGUGAUUAAGGCAAAAAAUACCACUGCUGCAGAGGACAGUGAGGAUCCUAUAAGCUCCUCCAUAAACCAAAGUCCCUCUGUAUAAAGAGAAGGGAAACAGCCAUAAAACAACAUUGAAAAUCAACAAGCUGAGCUAUUCAGAAACAGUCUAUUGAAACACAGAAGUUACCACAUGACUACUUGCUAAGUUUAAAGUUUAAUUUUCAAUGCUCCAGAGGGUAGAUGGUGAGGGGCAGGGUUGAGAACAGUGAGGGUAGUAACAGCAGUUACAGAUAAUAAAAAUGCACAUGUUAGUGUGUCUGGCGAGUGACUUCCCUACAUAUAUUUUUUCAUAAGCAAGUUUUUCUUUUAAAAUUUUAUGAAGUUAAUUAUAGGUAUCUUUUCACAUUUCAGCUUCUGAUAAAGUCUUGGUCAUAAGAAAACAGUGAGAGUCUGCUUCAUCAAUAACCUGACCUGCAACAGUUGCUUCUAGUAGUAGCCUGAGAAAUCAGAUGGAUUGGAACAUUUGCCAGCCAGCUGACAAUGAAGGCCAAACCACUGGUGGUAGACAGAACUUGGAUAGGUUCUGUAACAAGAUUUUGGUGCAAUUGUCAAAAUGUUUAUCAGCAAUAAACUGGAG